GAGUUUGAUCGUGGCUCAGGACGAACGCUGGCGGCGUGCCUAAUACAUGCAAGUCGAGCGGAUCUUCAUUAGCUUGCUUUUGAAGAUCAGCGGCGGACGGGUGAGUAACACGUGGGCAACCUGCCUGUAAGACUGGGAUAACUUCGGGAAACCGGAGCUAAUACCGGAUAAUCCUUUUCCUCUCAUGAGGAAAAGCUGAAAGACGGUUUCGGCUAUCACUUACAGAUGGGCCCGCGGCGCAUUAGCUAGUUGGUGAGGUAACGGCUCACCAAGGCGACGAUGCGUAGCCGACCUGAGAGGGUGAUCGGCCACACUGGGACUGAGACACGGCCCAGACUCCUACGGGAGGCAGCAGUAGGGAAUCUUCCGCAAUGGACGAAAGUCUGACGGAGCAACGCCGCGUGAGCGAUGAAGGCC
rnacentral:rRNA from 1 species